UUACUCUAUUUUAAUUUUUGUAGCACUGGGGACAGUGCAAUGAUUUUUAGUUAGGGGUAGGGUUAUUCCAAAAAAUUUAGGAGCAGUUGAAAAGAAAGAUGUAGCUAAAACUGAAAGUCUGUUAUGACUUAUAGGUUUGAUGCAGGCAGUUGAGAUAGGGAAUAGAUCAGCGCGUCUAUAGCAGCGGAUGAUUUUUUUAUUAUG
rnacentral:lncRNA from 1 species